rnacentral:rRNA from 1 species
UGGGGAAUAUUGGACAAUGGGGGGAACCCUGAUCCAGCCAUGCCGCGUGUGUGAAGAAGGCCUUAUGGUUGUAAAGCACUUUAAGCGAGGAGGAGGGUACUGGUAUUAAUACUACCAGGUACUGGACGUUACUCGCAGAAUAAGCACCGGCUAACUCUGUGCCAGCAGCCGCGGUAAUACAGAGGGUGCGAGCGUUAAUCGGAUUUACUGGGCGUAAAGCGUGCGUAGGUGGUUCGUUAAGUUGAAUGUGAAAGCCCCGGGCUCAACCUGGGAACUGCAUCCGAUACUGGCGGGCUAGAGUAGGGCAGAGGGUGGUGGAAUUUCCUGUGUAGCGGUGAAAUGCGUAGAUAUAGGAAGGAACACCAGUGGCGAAGGCGACCACCUGGGCUCAUACUGACGCUGAGGUGCGAAAGCGUGGGGAGCAAACAGG